UAGGGAAUAUUAGAAAUGGACGAAAGUCUGAUCUAGCAACACCGCGUGUGCGAAGAAGGCCUUCGGGUUGUAAAGCACUUUUUGGAAGGAUUAGGAAGGAAUGUACUUCCAGAAUAAGUCUCGGCUACCUACGUGCCAGCAGCCGCGGUAACACGUAGGAGGCAAACGUUAUCCGGAUUUACUGGGCGUAAAGCGCGUGUAGGUGGUUCUGUAAGUAGGGCGUGAAAGCUCCUGGCUCAACUGGGAGAGGCCGUUCUAAACUGCAGAGCUAGAGGAUGGUAGAGGGAGGUGGAAUUCCGGGUGUGGCGGUGGAAUGCGCAGAUAUCCGGAGGAACACCAGUGGCGAAGGCGGCCUCCUGGACCAUUCCUGACACUCAGACGCGAAAGCUAGGGUAGCAAACG
rnacentral:rRNA from 1 species